rnacentral:rRNA from 1 species
GGUCAUUUAGAGGAAGUAAAAGUCGUAACAAGGUCUCCGUUGGUGAACCAGCGGAGGGAUCAUUA